CCUUAGGACAACGGGGGCAAUUGAGCUCCCUCAACGUGACCAUAUUGAUGCCAACUUUACUCUGCUCUUGGGACGUACAGGUCCAGGGUGGAAACACAGCAGACAAAAGUCCCCGUGUCGAAUAGUAGUGGGAUCGCGCCUGUGAAUAGGCAGCGGUUGGUAGCCUGUCCAAUAAAGUUGGACUCGAUCCUUU
rnacentral:sRNA from 1 species